CCUACGGGUGGCUGCAGUGGGGAAUUUUGGACAAUGGGGGCAACCCUGAUCCAGCAAUGCCGCGUGUGUGAAGAAGGCCUUCGGGUUGUAAAGCACUUUUGUCCGGGAAGAAAUCGCACCUGAUAAUACCGGGUGUGGAUGACGGUACCGGAAGAAUAAGGACCGGCUAACUACGUGCCAGCAGCCGCGGUAAUACGUAGGGUCCAAGCGUUAAUCGGAGUUACUGGGCGUAAAGCGUCAACACCCGGUUGAAAUCCCCGGGCUUAACCUGGGAAUUGCAUUGGUGACUGCACGGCUAGAGUGUGUCAGAGGGGGGUAGAAUUCCACGUGUAGCAGUGAAAUGCGUAGAGAUGUGGAGGAAUACCGAUGGCGAAGGCAGCCCCCUGGGAUAACACUGACGCUCAUGCACGAAAGCGUGGGGAGCAAACAGGAUUAGAUACCCCUGUAGUC
rnacentral:rRNA from 1 species